AACGAACGCUGGCGGCAGGCUUAACACAUGCAAGUCGAGCGCCCCGCAAGGGGAGCGGCAGACGGGUGAGUAACACGUGGGAAUCUACCCAUCCCUACGGAACAACUCCGGGAAACUGGAGCUAAUACCGUAUACGCCCUUUGGGGGAAAGAUUUAUCGGGGAUGGAUGAGCCCGCGUUGGAUUAGCUAGUUGGUGGGGGAAAGGCCUACCAAGGCGACGAUCCAUAGCUGGUCUGAGAGGAUGAUCAGCCACAUUGGGACUGAGACACGGCCCAAACUCCUACGGGAGGCAGCAGUGGGGAAUAUUGGACAAUGGGCGCAAGCCUGAUCCAGCCAUGCCGCGUGAAUGAUGAAGGCCUUAGGGUUGUAAAGUUCUUUCACCGAUGAAGAUAAUGACGGUAGUCGGAGAAGAAGCCCCGGCUAACUUCGUGCCAGCAGCCGCCGUAA
rnacentral:rRNA from 1 species